rnacentral:rRNA from 1 species
AUUGAACGCUGGCGGCAUGCCUUACACAUGCAAGUCGAACGGUAGAGGGGCAACCCUUGAGAGUGGCGAACGGGUGAGUAAUGCAUCGGAACGUGCCCAGUCGUGGGGGAUAACGUAGCGAAAGCUACGCUAAUACCGCAUACGACCCGAGGGUGAAAGCGGGGGACUCGCAAGGGCCUCGCGCGAUUGGAGCGGCCGAUGUCAGAUUAGGUAGUUGGUGGGGUAAAGGCCUACCAAGCCGACGAUCUGUAGCUGGUCUGAGAGGACGACCAGCCACACUGGGACUGAGACACGGCCCAGACUCCUACGGGAGGCAGCAGUGGGGAAUUUUGGACAAUGGGCGCAAGCCUGAUCCAGCCAUGCCGCGUGCGGGAAGAAGGCCUUCGGGUUGUAAACCGCUUUUGUCAGGGAAGAAAUCUUCUGGGUUAAUACCUCGGGAGGAUGACGGUACCUGGAGAAUAAGCACCGGCUAACUACGUGCCAGCAGCCGCCGUAACAC